rnacentral:rRNA from 1 species
UAGGUGGUUUGUCGCGUUGUUCGUGAAAACCGGAGGCUUAACCUCUGGCGGGCGGGCGAUACGGGCAGACUGGAGUACUGCAGGGGAGACUGGAAUUCCUGGUGUAGCGGUGGAAUGCGCAGAUAUCAGGAGGAACACCGGUGGCGAAGGCGGGUCUCUGGGCAGUAACUGACGCUGAGGAGCGAAAGCGUGGGGAGCGAACAGGAUUAGAUACCCUGGUAGUCCACGCCGUAAACGGUGGGUACUAGGUGUGGGUUUCCUUCCUUGGGAUCCGUGCCGU